GAUGAACGCUGGCGGCGUGCUUAACACACGCAAGUCGAACGGAAAGGCCCAAGCUUGCUUGGGUACUCGAGUGGCGAACGGGUGAGUAACACGUGGGUGAUCUGCCCUGCACUUCGGGAUAAGCCUGGGAAACUGGGUCUAAUACCGGAUAGGACGAUGGUUUGGAUGCCAUUGUGGAAAGUUUUUUCGGUGUGGGAUGAGCUCGCGGCCUAUCAGCUUGUUGGUGGGGUAAUGGCCUACCAAGGCGUCGACGGGUAGCCGGCCUGAGAGGGUGUACGGCCACAUUGGGACUGAGAUACGGCCCAGACUCCUACGGGAGGCAGCAAUGGGGAAUAUUGCACAAUGGGCGCAAGCCUGAUGCAGCGACGCCGCGUGGGGGAUGACGGCCUUCGGGUUGUAAACUCCUUUCGCUAGGGACGAAGCGUUUUUGUGACGGUACCUGGAGAAGAAGCACCGGCUAACUACGUG
rnacentral:rRNA from 1 species